GUCUCCGUAGGAGAACCUGCGGAGGGAUCAUUACAAGUGACCCCGGUCUAACCACCGGGAUGUUCAUAACCCUUUGUUGUCCGACUCUGUUGCCUCCGGGGCGACCCUGCCUUCGGGCGGGGGCUCCGGGUGGACACUUCAAACUCUUGCGUAACUUUGCAGUCUGAGUAAACCUAAUUAAUAAAUUAAAACUUUUAACAACGGAUCUCUUGGUUUUGGCAUCGAUGAAGAACGCAGCGAAAUGCGAUAAGUAAUGUGAAUUGCAGAAUUCAGUGAAUCAUCGAAUCUUUGAACGCACAUUGCGCCCCCUGGUAUUCCGGGGGGCAUGCCUGUUCGAGCGUCAUUUCACCACUCAAGCCUCGCUUGGUAUUGGGCAACGCGGUCCGCCGCGUGCCUCAAAUCGACUGGCUGGGUCUUCUGUCCCCUAAGCGUUGUGGAAACUAUUCGCUAAAGGGUGUUCGGGAGGCUACGCCGUAAAACAACCCCAUUUCUAAGGUUGACCUCGGAUCAGGUAGGGAUACCCGCUGAACUUAAGCA
rnacentral:rRNA from 1 species